AGCAAAAGUAUCUUGAAGCACUUGAUAGGCGAGAAAAGGCAAAGGCGCUUGAAAUAUUAGAGACUGAUUUAAAAGUGUUUUCAACAUUGAAUGAGGAAGGGUACAAAGAAAUUACACAACUUUUAACUCUCAGCAAUUUAAGGGAAAAUGAGCAGCUGUCCAAGUAUGACACCGAAACAGCUCGUUUCAUACUUCUGAUAGAGCUCAAAAAACUGAUAGAAGCAAACCCAUGUUUCCUCAAUAAGCUUACUUUUCCCACUCGGAAGGAUUCAGAAUUGCAGUCUCUAAU